rnacentral:rRNA from 1 species
CGCUUAGUGCCUUAAUACUAAGUAAACUCUGCUCGGUGAAAGAUUUUAACAGCAGCGGUAUUUUGACCGUUCAAAGGUAGCAUAAUAAGCCUAGUAAUUGUAGGCCUGUCAAUGGACCCAUGGGCUUAUUUUUAUAAAAAUUUAAUAAUGUUUAAAUUGGAAAAAAAGUAAAAAUUCUUUUUUCUAUUUAAAAGACGAUAAGACCCUAGAAUUUUUUACUAAAAUUUAGGUGGGGAAUCUUAGAUUAGUAACAAUCAACAUUUAAAAUACUCUAGGGAUAACAGCUUCAUUUUAAAGAUUCUUUAAAGUUUGAGACCUCGAUGUUGAAUUAAGAUAUUGGUCUUCCAGAAGAAGACCAAUUGAGGUCUGUUCGACCUUAAACCUCUU